AGAGUUCAGAGGUCAGAGUUUAGAGAUGGAGCCUCAGUUGGUAUGACAUCUGAGAUACAGGUCAUUUUAUACAGGGACAGGAGAUACAGGUCAUAUUAUACAGGGACAGGAGAUACAGGUCAUAUUAUACAGGGACAGGAGAUACAGGUCAUAUUAUACAGGGACAGGAGAUACAGGUCAUAUUAUACAGGAGAUACAGGUCAUAUUAUACAUGAGAUACAGGUCAUAUUAUACAGGGACAGGAAAUACAGGUCAUAUUAUACAGGGACAGGAGAUACAGGUCAUAUUAUACAGGAGAUACAGGUCAUAUUAUACAGGGACAGGAAAUACAGGUCAUAUUAUACAGACAGGAAAUACAGGUCAUAUUAUGCAGGAGAUACAGGUCAUAUUAUAUAGACGGGAGAUACAGGUCAUAUUAUGCAGGAGAUACAGGUCAAAUUAUACCGGAGAUACAGGUCGCAUUAUGCAGGAGAUACAGGUCAUAUUAUGCAGGAGAUACAGGUCAUAUUAUACAGGAGAUACACGUCAUAUUAUGCAGGAGAUACAGGUCAUAUUAUACAGGAGAUACACGUCAUAUUAUGCAGGAGAUACAGGUCAUAUUAUACAGGGACAGGAGAUACAGGUCAUAUUAUACAGGAGAUACAGGUCAUAUUAUACAAGAGAUACAGGUCAUAUUAUACAGACAGGAGAUACAGGUCAUAUUAUACAGACAGGAGAUACAGGUCAUAUUAUGCAGGAGAUACAGGUCAUAUUAUACAGGAGAUACAGGUCAUAUUAUACAGGAGAUACAGGUCAUAUUAUACAAGAGAUACAGGUCAUAUUAUACAGACAGGAGAUACAGGUCAUAUUUUACAGACAGAAGACACAGGUCAUAUUAUACAGGAGACACAUGUAAUAUUAUACAGGUGAUACAGGUCAUAUUAUACAGGAGAUACAGGUCAUAUUAUACAGGAAAUACAGGUCAUAUUAUACAAGGACAGGAGAUACAGGUCAUAUUAUACAGGAGAUACAGGUCAUAUUAUACAGACUUGAGAAACAGGUCAUAUUAUACAGGAGAUACAGGUCAUAUUAUACAGGAGAUACAGGUCAUAUUAUUCAAGAGAUAAAGGUCAUAUUAUACAGACAGGAGAUACAGGUCAUAUUAUACAGGAGAUACAGGUCAUAUUAUACAGACAGGAGAUACAGGUCAUAUUAUACAGGAGAUACAGGUCAUAUUAUACAAGAGAUAAAGGUCAUAUUAUACAGACAGGAGAUACAGGUCAUAUUAUACAGGAGAUACAGGUCAUAUUAUACAGGAGAUACAGGUCAUAUUAUACAGGAGAUACAGGUCAUAUUUUACAGACUGGAAAUACAUGUCAUAUUAUACAGGGACAGGAGAUACAGGUCAUAUUAUACAGGAGAUAAAGGUCUUAUUAUACAGACAGGAGAUACAGGUCAUAUUAUACAGAAGAUAAAGAUCAUAUUAUACAGACAGGAGAUACAGGUCAUAUUAUACAGGAGAUACAGGUCAUAUUAUACAGGAGAUACAGGUCAUAUUAUACAGGAGAUACAGGUCAUAUUAUACAGGAGAUACAGGUCAUAUUAUACAGGAGAUAAAGGUCAUAUUAUACAGGAGAUACAGGUCAUAUUAUACAGGAGAUACAGGUCAUAUUAUACAGGAGAUAAAGGUCAUAUUAUACAGGAGAUACAGGUCAUAUUAUACAGGAGAUACAGGUCAUAUUAUACAGGUGAUACAUUUCAUAUUAUACAGGAGAUACAGGUCAUAUUAUACAGGGACAGGAGAUACAGGUCAUAUUAUACAGGAGAUACAGGUCAUACAAUACAGGAGAUACAUGCCAUAUUAUACAGGAGAUACAGGUCAUGUUAUACAGGAGAUACAGGUCAUAUUAUACAGGAGAUACAGGUCAUAUUAUACAGGAGAUACAGGUCAUAUUAUACAGGAGAUACAGGUCAUGUUAUACAGGAGAUACAGGUCAUAUUAUACAGACAGGAGAUACAGGUCAUAUUAUACAGACAGGAGAUACAGGUCAUAUUAUGCAGGAGAUACAGGUCAUAUUAUACAGGAGAUACAGGUCAUAUUAUACAGGGACAGGAGAUACAGGUCAUAUUAUACAGGAGAUACAUGUCAUAUUAUACAGGAGAUACAGGUCAUAUUAUAGAAGAGAUACAGGUCAUACUAUACAGGCAGGAGAUACAGGUCAUAUUUUACAGACAGAAGACAUAGGUCAUAUUAUACAGGAGACACAGGUAAUAUUAUACAGGUGAUACAUUUCAUAUUAUACAGGAUAUACAGGUCAUAUUAUACAGGGUCAGGCGAUACAGGUCAUAUUAUACAGGAGAUACAGGUCAUAUUAUACAGGAGAUACAGGUCAUAUUAUACAGGAGAUACAUGUCAUAUUAUACAGGAGAUACAGGUCAUAUUAUACAGGAGAUACAGGUCAUAUUAUACAGGAGAUACAGGUCAUAUUAUAUUGGAGAUACAUGUCAUAUUAUACAGGAGAUACAGGUCAUAUUAUACAAGAGAUACAGGUCAUAUUAUACAGGAGUCAAAGGUCAUAUUUUACAGACAGGAGAUACAGGUCAUAUUUUACAGACAGAAGACACAGGUCAUAUUAUACAGGAGACACAUGUAAUAUUAUACAGGUGAUACAGGUCAUAUUAUACAGGAGAUACAUGUCAUAUUAUACAGGAGAUACAGGUCAUAUUAUACAGGAGAUACAGGUCAUAUUAUACAGGAGAUACAGGUCAUAAUAUACAGGGACAGGAGAUACAGGUCAUAUUAUACAGGAGAUACAGGUCACAUUAUACAGGGACAGGAGAUACAGGUAAUAUUAUACAGGAGAUACAGGUCAUAUUAUACAGGAGAUACAGGUCAUAUUAUACAGGAGAUACAGGUCAUAUUAUACAGGAGAUACAGGUCAUAUUAUUCAGGGACAGGAGAUACAGGUCAUAUUAUGCAGGAGAUACAGGUCAUAUUAUACAGGAGAUACAGGUCAUAUUAUACAGGAGAUACAGGUCAUAUUAUACAAGAGAUACAGGUCAUAUUAUACAGACAGGUGAUACAGGUCAUAUUUUACAGACAGAAGACACAGGUCAUAUUAUACAGGAGACACAGGUAAUAUUAUACAGGUGAUACAUUUCAUAUUAUACAGGAGAUACAGGUCAUAUUAUACAGGGACAGGAGAUACAGGUCAUAUUAUACAGGAGAUACAGGUCAUAUUAUACAGGAGAUACAGGUCAUAUUAUACAGGAGAUACAUGUCAUAUUAUACAGGAGAUACAGGUCAUAUUAUACAAGAGAUACAGGUCAUAUUAUACAGGAGUCAAAGGUAAUAUUUUACAGACAGGAGAUACAGGUCAUAUUUUACAGACAGAAGACACAGGUCAUAUUAUACAGGAGACACAUGUAAUAUUAUACAGGUGAUACAGGUCAUAUUAUACAGGAGAUACAGGUCAUAUUAUACAGGAAAUACAGGUCAUAUUAUACAAGGACAGGAGAUACAGGUCAUAUUAUACAGGAGAUACAGGUCAUAUUAUACAGACUUGAGAAACAGGUCAUAUUAUACAGGAGAUACAGGUCAUAUUAUACAGGAGAUACAGGUCAUAUUAUUCAAGAGAUAAAGGUCAUAUUAUACAGACAGGAGAUACAGGUCAUAUUAUACAGGAGAUACAGGUCAUAUUAUACAGACAGGAGAUACAGGUCAUAUUAUACAGGAGAUACAGGUCAUAUUAUACAAGAGAUAAAGGUCAUAUUAUACAGACAGGAGAUACAGGUCAUAUUAUACAGGAGAUACAGGUCAUAUUAUACAGGAGAUACAGGUCAUAUUAUACAGGAGAUACAGGUCAUAUUUUACAGACUGGAAAUACAUGUCAUAUUAUACAGGGACAGGAGAUACAGGUCAUAUUAUACAGGAGAUAAAGGUCUUAUUAUACAGACAGGAGAUACAGGUCAUAUUAUACAGAAGAUAAAGAUCAUAUUAUACAGACAGGAGAUACAGGUCAUAUUAUACAGGAGAUACAGGUCAUAUUAUACAGGAGAUACAGGUCAUAUUAUACAGGAGAUACAGGUCAUAUUAUACAGGAGAUACAGGUCAUAUUAUACAGGAGAUAAAGGUCAUAUUAUACAGGAGAUACAGGUCAUAUUAUACAGGAGAUACAGGUCAUAUUAUACAGGAGAUAAAGGUCAUAUUAUACAGGAGAUACAGGUCAUAUUAUACAGGAGAUACAGGUCAUAUUAUACAGGUGAUACAUUUCAUAUUAUACAGGAGAUACAGGUCAUAUUAUACAGGGACAGGAGAUACAGGUCAUAUUAUACAGGAGAUACAGGUCAUACAAUACAGGAGAUACAUGCCAUAUUAUACAGGAGAUACAGGUCAUGUUAUACAGGAGAUACAGGUCAUAUUAUACAGGAGAUACAGGUCAUAUUAUACAGGAGAUACAGGUCAUAUUAUACAGGAGAUACAGGUCAUGUUAUACAGGAGAUACAGGUCAUAUUAUACAGACAGGAGAUACAGGUCAUAUUAUACAGACAGGAGAUACAGGUCAUAUUAUGCAGGAGAUACAGGUCAUAUUAUACAGGAGAUACAGGUCAUAUUAUACAGGGACAGGAGAUACAGGUCAUAUUAUACAGGGACAGGAGAUACAGGUCAUAUUAUACAGGAGAUACAGGUCAUAUUAUACAGGAGAUACAGGUCAUAUUAUACAGGAGAUACAUGUCAUAUUAUACAGGAGAUACAGGUCAUAUUAUACAAGAGAUACAGGUCAUAUUAUACAGGAGUCAAAGGUAAUAUUUUACAGACAGGAGAUACAGGUCAUAUUUUACAGACAGAAGACACAGGUCAUAUUAUACAGGAGACACAUGUAAUAUUAUACAGGUGAUACAGGUCAUAUUAUACAGGAGAUACAGGUCAUAUUAUACAGGAAAUACAGGUCAUAUUAUACAAGGACAGGAGAUACAGGUCAUAUUAUACAGGAGAUACAGGUCAUAUUAUACAGACUUGAGAAACAGGUCAUAUUAUACAGGAGAUACAGGUCAUAUUAUACAGGAGAUACAGGUCAUAUUAUUCAAGAGAUAAAGGUCAUAUUAUACAGACAGGAGAUACAGGUCAUAUUAUACAGGAGAUACAGGUCAUAUUAUACAGACAGGAGAUACAGGUCAUAUUAUACAGGAGAUACAGGUCAUAUUAUACAAGAGAUAAAGGUCAUAUUAUACAGACAGGAGAUACAGGUCAUAUUAUACAGGAGAUACAGGUCAUAUUAUACAGGAGAUACAGGUCAUAUUAUACAGGAGAUACAGGUCAUAUUUUACAGACUGGAAAUACAUGUCAUAUUAUACAGGGACAGGAGAUACAGGUCAUAUUAUACAGGAGAUAAAGGUCUUAUUAUACAGACAGGAGAUACAGGUCAUAUUAUACAGAAGAUAAAGAUCAUAUUAUACAGACAGGAGAUACAGGUCAUAUUAUACAGGAGAUACAGGUCAUAUUAUACAGGAGAUACAGGUCAUAUUAUACAGGAGAUACAGGUCAUAUUAUACAGGAGAUACAGGUCAUAUUAUACAGGAGAUAAAGGUCAUAUUAUACAGGAGAUACAGGUCAUAUUAUACAGGAGAUACAGGUCAUAUUAUACAGGAGAUAAAGGUCAUAUUAUACAGGAGAUACAGGUCAUAUUAUACAGGAGAUACAGGUCAUAUUAUACAGGUGAUACAUUUCAUAUUAUACAGGAGAUACAGGUCAUAUUAUACAGGGACAGGAGAUACAGGUCAUAUUAUACAGGAGAUACAGGUCAUACAAUACAGGAGAUACAUGCCAUAUUAUACAGGAGAUACAGGUCAUGUUAUACAGGAGAUACAGGUCAUAUUAUACAGGAGAUACAGGUCAUAUUAUACAGGAGAUACAGGUCAUAUUAUACAGGAGAUACAGGUCAUGUUAUACAGGAGAUACAGGUCAUAUUAUACAGACAGGAGAUACAGGUCAUAUUAUACAGACAGGAGAUACAGGUCAUAUUAUGCAGGAGAUACAGGUCAUAUUAUACAGGAGAUACAGGUCAUAUUAUACAGGGACAGGAGAUACAGGUCAUAUUAUACAGGAGAUACAUGUCAUAUUAUACAGGAGAUACAGGUCAUAUUAUAGAAGAGAUACAGGUCAUACUAUACAGGCAGGAGAUACAGGUCAUAUUUUACAGACAGAAGACAUAGGUCAUAUUAUACAGGAGACACAGGUAAUAUUAUACAGGUGAUACAUUUCAUAUUAUACAGGAUAUACAGGUCAUAUUAUACAGGGUCAGGCGAUACAGGUCAUAUUAUACAGGAGAUACAGGUCAUAUUAUACAGGAGAUACAGGUCAUAUUAUACAGGAGAUACAUGUCAUAUUAUACAGGAGAUACAGGUCAUAUUAUACAGGAGAUACAGGUCAUAUUAUACAGGAGAUACAGGUCAUAUUAUAUUGGAGAUACAUGUCAUAUUAUACAGGAGAUACAGGUCAUAUUAUACAAGAGAUACAGGUCAUAUUAUACAGGAGUCAAAGGUCAUAUUUUACAGACAGGAGAUACAGGUCAUAUUUUACAGACAGAAGACACAGGUCAUAUUAUACAGGAGACACAUGUAAUAUUAUACAGGUGAUACAGGUCAUAUUAUACAGGAGAUACAUGUCAUAUUAUACAGGAGAUACAGGUCAUAUUAUACAGGAGAUACAGGUCAUAUUAUACAGGAGAUACAGGUCAUAAUAUACAGGGACAGGAGAUACAGGUCAUAUUAUACAGGAGAUACAGGUCACAUUAUACAGGGACAGGAGAUACAGGUAAUAUUAUACAGGAGAUACAGGUCAUAUUAUACAGGAGAUACAGGUCAUAUUAUACAGGAGAUACAGGUCAUAUUAUACAGGAGAUACAGGUCAUAUUAUUCAGGGACAGGAGAUACAGGUCAUAUUAUACAGGAGAUACAGGUCACAUU